rnacentral:misc_RNA from 1 species
CGGCGGCAGUUGCGACGCCGACGUGAAGCGGUGCAUCGUGCGCGUCGCGCACUUGGCGAGUUCGCCGUUCCGAUUUCGCGAUCGUCUCUCGUCCGCGCGCGCGCGUGCGCGCGCGUUCAACACGAGUGGCAGGUGGCACAUGUCGAUCCCCGCAUUGUGAUAUCAACGAGCGACGGAAGAUGUGACGGAUCCGACGGCGACCUUGGCGGGACGGUGGAUCGUGACGUCAUGAGUCCUUAAACCCGCGAGAGAUCCACGAGGACAGCAAUGGGCCACGCGUCGACCAGAGAACAGCACGGACUACAGGAUCGCGCGGAUUAACCGGCCGAAGCGAGAGUCAUGGCGAGGUGGAGAUGGGUGCUGCUAAUCCUGACCACCGUCUGGACGCUGAGCGACGGCUACUUGGCGGUGCUGUCUUCCAACACGCCCGCCGGCACCGUCGUCUUCGAGGCCGGUGUGCCGCAGUUGGGCGGCCGCCGCAAGUACGAGGCGUCCAGCGAGCGCACCGCCUGGUUCGCCAGGAAACUCCUCAAGGUCCAUCCGCACACGGGCCGCGUGACCCUGGCGAGGAGUCUCAGCUGCGACGGUCUCCAGUACCCGCGCAUCUUCACCUUCUACGUCGACUCGACGAGCUCGAGGCUCGGUAGGCCCACCAUCGACUACUACAGCCUGCCCCUGAGAAUCCUGAUCACCGGAUGCGGCAACGAGAACCGCGACCUGGCAGCCACCAGAGGCUGGAUGGCGGAGACGUUGGCUUCUUACGCGAUGCCGAGCACUGACAGGUUCACCGAGGUGUGCCUGCGAACGUCUCAGCUGGUGGCGGCCCUCCGCGACUUCUUGCCCCAAACAGCCCUGAAGGAAUGCGAGACUAGAUGGGGCGGCGUGGCGGAUCCCAGGUUCCUCGUGGAAGGCGCCGCUGGGGACCUGGUGUCCGCCAGCGAACAGUGCCUGGUAGACCCGCUGUGGAAGGUCUCGGUCAGCAUGAACCUGCGUUGCACCGGGGACUCGCGUCUGACCGACGCCGAGCAUCGGCUGAAGAUCGUGUUUCAUCACCGCCAGCUGGACGACACUGACCUGGGCAGGAGGGUGAGAAGAGAGCUGAAGAACCAGUCGCCCUACUUCGAGCAACCCCUCUACGUCGCCGCAGUGGAGGAGGAGAAGGAGCCGGGAGUGUACGUGACCUCAGUGAGGGCAAGGGACCCUGAAAACGGCGCCGUCCGAUACUCCAUGAGUUCGCUGAUAGACGCGAGGUCACAGGCGUUGCUGGCUCUCGACCCGAUCACUGGAAGAGUGACGACUCGGGCGCGGCUCGACAGGGAGAACGUGGAUGUGCACUAUUUCCGGGUACUGGCAGUGGACGACUCUUUCCCUCCGCGCACCGGCACGACGACUCUUCAGGUUAACGUGUUGGACGCGAACGACCAUGCGCCCAGCUUCGAGUGGCCCGAGUACGACGCAUCGGUGCGCGAAGGAGUUCCCGUGGGCUCCACGGUGGUCACGGUCAAGGCCACGGACCAAGACACCGGUAGGAACGCUGAGGUGGAGUACUCCAUCGUGUGCACCACAGCAGGCGGCAGCACCGCGCACUCCGAGGAAGCGGCGAUUUUCAGGAUCGAUCCCAGAUCCGGCGUGGUGACGACGCGAACCGCGCUCGACCGCGAGCAAACCGAGGUUUACACGGUCCUGCUGAGCGUCACGGACCAAGCGACGCCGCCGUCCGCGCGACGGAGCGCGAACGCGACCCUGGUGGUGCGCGUGUUGGACGACAACGACAACUACCCGCAGUUCACCGAGCGCACGUACUCGGCGGCGGUGCUGGAGGACCUGGACUACACGACGAAUCCUAUAGUGGCCCGCAUCCGGGCUACAGACGCGGACGCCGGCAGCAACGCGGCGGUCCGCUACGCGAUCAUCGGCGGUAACACGCAAAACACCUUCUCCAUCGACUCGAUGAGCGGCGACGUCGCUCUGGUGAAGCCGCUCGACUACGAGUCCACCAGGAGCUACAAGAUCGUCAUACGCGCCCAAGACGGCGGCUCGCCGGCACGUUCCAACACCACCCAGCUGUUGGUGAUGGUCAGAGACGUGAACGACAACGCGCCGAGGUUCUACACCAGCCACUUCCAAGAGUCGGUGUCGGAAAACGUGCCGCUGGGCUACUCGGUGCUGAGGGUGCAGGCUUACGACGCCGACGAGGGUAAAAACGCGCUCAUCAGGUACACCAUCGGCGCACGCGACGUCACCGGAGCCUUCACGGAAAACUUUCCGAUCACGGUGAACACGGAGACCGGCUGGAUCUACACGACGAAGCAGCUGGAUCGUGAACAGUGCUCAAAAUAUCAGUUCACCAUAAUCGCGGCGGACUCCGGCGAGGAGGCAAAGUCAAUGAGCGCCACGGUGAUCCUCACGGUGACCGAUGUGAACGACAACGACCCUUACUUCGAGCCGAAGAACUACGAGGCGGUCGUAUCUGAGGACGAUCCUCCGGGCACACCGGUCACCUCGGUGACAGCCACCGACCCCGACGAGGACGCCAGGAUCCACUACGAGAUCACAGGCGGCAAUACGCGCGGGCGGUUUUCCAUCGCGUCGCAAAACGGCCGCGGGCUCAUCACGGUCGCCCAGCCGCUCGACUACAAGCAGGAGAAGCGAUUCGUGCUGACGGUGACCGCAUCCGACAGCGGCGGCCGCACCGACACCGCCUUGGUCUACGUCAACGUGUCGGACGCCAACAACUUCUCGCCGGUGUUCGAGAACGCGCCCUACUCCGUCUCGGUCUUCGAGGACGCGCCCGUCGGCGUGACCGUGCUGGUGGUCAGCGCCACGGACUCCGACGUCGGCAAGAACGCCCAGAUCACUUACAGUCUGGCCACCGACAGCGGCGAACAGGCGGUCAACGAGUUCAGCAUCAACUCGCAGACCGGCGCGAUCACCACCACCCGAGCGCUCGACCGGGAACUGGUGUCCUCGUACCUGUUGACCGUGACGGCCAGGGACGGUGGUGUGCCGCCGUUGUCGGACACCACCGACGUGGAAAUCUCCGUCACGGAUGUGAACGAUAACGCACCGGUCUUCGAAGCGCCGCAGUAUCAAGGUUCGAUCCCCGAAGACGUCUUGGUGGGCACCAGUGUGCUGAGGGUCGCGGCGACUGACGCGGAUUCUGACUUGAACGGCCGGGUGAAGUACGCUCUGGAGGACGACGGCGACGGUGCGUUCGCGAUCGACCCGACGACUGGCAUCGUGAGAACUGCGAAGUCGUUGGACCGGGAAUCGGUGGCGCGUUAUUCCCUGAAAGCCGUCGCCAUCGACCGCGGCUCCCCCGCGCUCUCAUCCGUCGUGCCCAUGAUCAUCAAGAUCGAGGACAUCAAUGACUCACCACCCGCUUUCGAGAACGACAAAAUCGUCCUUUACAUCGCCGAGAACUCGCCGGUCGGCUCGACCGUCGGCGAGAUCUUCGCUCAUGACCCUGACGAAGGCCCGAACGCGGUGGUGCAGUACUCCAUCAUCGGCGGCGAGGACUCCAACAGCUUCGCCUUGAACAUCAGGCAAGGCGCCGACCGGGCAGAGCUGAUCACCUUGGAGGAGCUCGACUAUGAGUCGCCAAAGAAGAAGUUCGAGCUGGUGGUGCGCGCGGCGUCGCCGCCGCUGCGCUCGGACGCUCUCGUGCAGAUCCUGGUGACCGACGUGAACGACAACGCGCCGGUGCUGAAGGACUUCCAGAUCAUCUUCAACAACUUCAAGGACUUCUUCCCAACCGCGCCGAUCGGCCGGAUACCGGCGGUGGACGCCGACGUCACGGACAAUCUCGUGUACAGCAUCCUCGCCGGCAACAACGCCAACCUCAUCGACCUGAACAAGACCUCCGGCGAGAUCCGGUUGUCCCCGCAACUCAAUACCAACGUGCCGCGAGUGGCGACCAUGGAGGUGUCCGUGACCGACGGUAUCAACGAGGCGAAGGCCACGAUGACGUUGUCGGUGCGACUGAUCACCGACGAGAUGCUGCUCAACUCGAUCACCGUGAGACUGGACGACAUGACGGUGGAAGCGUUCCUCAGCCCGCUUCUGGGAUACUUCCUGGAUGGUCUAGCGGCGAUCAUACCUUGCCCACGUGAGAAUAUCUUCCUCUUCAGCAUCCAAGAGGACGCGAACGUGCACGGCAAGAUCUUGAACGUGAGCUUCUCGGCGCGGAAGGUCGAGCCAGGCACGGUCGACGAGUUCUACAGUCCGCAGUUUCUCCAGGAGCGAGUCUACCUGAACCGCGGUAUCCUCGCGAGACUCGCCACGGUCACCGUUCUGCCCUUCGACGACAACCUGUGCGUACGGGAGCCCUGCUUGAACUUCGAAGAGUGCCUAACGGUGUUGAAGUUCGGCAACGCGUCCGGCUUCGCCAGCAGCGACACCGUGCUCUUCCGGCCGAUCUACCCGGUGACUACGUUCGCCUGUAGAUGCGCUCGCGGCUUCACCGGUAGCCGUGAAGCUUAUCUCUGCGACACCGAGGUGAACCUGUGUUACUCCAACCCCUGCGCGAACGGCGGCACCUGUCGCAGGCGAGAGGGCGGCUACUCGUGCACCUGCUCACCCGACUUCACCGGUGAGAACUGCGAGAUCUCGCUAGACCACGACGGCUGCUCGCCCGGAGUCUGCAAGGGCGGCUCCCAAUGCACCAUGAAGAACUCCGGCGGCUUCACCUGCGAAGGUUGUCCUGUGGCCGCUUCGGAGAGCGUGACGCCUCUCUGCGAGCUGAGAGCGCGCAGUUUUGGCCCGGCGACGUUCCUCACCUUCGCCUCGCUCAGGCAACGUCAUCGCUUGCAUCUCAGGUUAAAGUUCGCCACUGAACUGGCCGAUGGACUACUGCUCUACAACGGCAGGUACAACGAGCGUCACGACUUCAUCGCUCUGGAGGUCGUAGACUCGAAAGUGCAGUUCAGCUUCUCCCUCGGGGACGAGGUGACUCGAGCCACGGCGAGUAUACCCGGCGGUGUUUCGGACGGUCGAUGGCACGAGGUGGAGGUUUCCUACAUCAACAGAACGGUCACCGUGUCUCUGGACGACUGCGACGUCGCGCUCGCUUUGGAGCACGGGGAGAGACUGGGGCCAAGAUGGGCCUGCGCAGGCAGGGACGAGAGAAUCCUCGAGGAACGCUGCGGUCUCGUCACCGAGACCUGUCACAGAUUCCUCGACCUGACAGGGCCGUUGCAACUGGGCGGUCUGCCGGCGAUUCCGUCCAGCUUUCAGAUCAGAAACAAGGACUACAUCGGAUGCAUCAGCGAUCUCUAUGUCGAUCAUGUGUUUGUCGAUCUCAAUUCCUUCGUGGCUGACAACGGGACCAACGCUGGCUGCCCCGAGAAAACCGCCUUCUGCGCCUCGUCACCUUGCAGGAACAACGGAAGGUGUCGCGAGGUGUGGUCCGGCUUCGUGUGCGAGUGCGAGGACGACUUCGCCGGACCGACCUGCUCCGAGGAGGUCGGCAAGCCGUGGAGUUUCCACGGCGACGGUAUGCUCAGCUUCAACCCGCUACUACGACCGAUACAGCUGCCUUGGCUGACCGCGCUCAGUCUGCGAACGCGGGCACAGCAGGCGUACGUCAUGAGCGUGCAAAUCGGCCAGAACAGCUCAGCCCUGCUCGAGAUCCGCGACGGGAAGCUGGUAGCCUCGCUGGACGGCGCCGACGUCAUUCGCAGCGCCGGCACCGUCGCCGACGGCGAAUGGCACCGACUGGAGAUCGUCUGGCAGAGCGGCCACGUGUCUCUGGACGCGGACUACCGCGAUCGACCCAUCAUCUUGCCGCUACCAGCCAAGCUGCAGGGUCUCUACGUCGGUAGAAUCCUCGUGGGCAGUCCCGACCAGGCGACCAACACCGAGCUGGCCUUCUUCGACGGCUGUCUGCAGGAUGUGCGUAUCGGGACCAACCAGAGCAUCCUCCAGAGACCGACGGUUCAAGAGAACGUCGGUGCUGGCUGUCCCUCGGAGUCUGAAUGUAGCUUGGACUGUCCGGAAGCGUCCGUCUGCGUGACCAAGUGGCAAUCCAGCGAAUGCGUCUGCGCCGCUGGCCGUGUCGGGCGUAGUUGCGAACGGGUCUGCGAUCUCGAGCCCUGCAACGGCACUGGCACUUGCGUCGAGGAUGUUACCGACGCGAGGCGCGGUUAUCGCUGCGACUGCAACUCGCCGGAGUACUCCGGUGACUACUGCGAGAUCAAGGCUGAUCAGCCUUGCCCGGCGACCUGGUGGGGCUCGCCUGUGUGCGGGCCUUGUCACUGCGACGAGGCCAAGGGUUACGACCCGGCUUGCAACAAGACCACCGGAGAGUGCUACUGCAAGGAGAAUCACUACCAACCGUCUGGGCUCAAGGAGUGCAUACCCUGCGAGUGCUACACGACCGGCAGCUUCGGCCCGCGUUGCGACAGCGAGGCCGGCCAAUGUCGUUGUCGAACCGGGGUGAUUGGUCGAUCGUGCACGGACUGUCCGAAUACUUACGCCGAGGUGACGCUGAGGGGCUGCGAGGUAGUCUACGACGGCUGUCCUAGGUCGUACUCGGACGGUCUCUGGUGGCCGAGGACACUCUUCGGGAUGACAGCCAUCGAAGAUUGCCCCGGCACUGCCGAGGGUAAGACUUCCAGGUCGUGCGACGACAAGCUAGGCGGCUGGCAAUCACCUGACCUCUUCAAUUGCACCUCAGAGGCGUUCGUCGAGCAACGGCAUCAGCUGGCGGCCUUGGAGAGCAAGGAUCUCACGCUAAACACUUACGUAGCCGUGAAGAUGGCGAAGGACGUUCACAGGGCGGUGAAUGUCACCAAAGAGAUGUACGGUGCGGACCUCCUGGUGGCGGAAUCCUUGUUAAUAGCGCUGCUACGUUACGAGGAGAGCCUGGUGGGACUAAAUCUCACUCAUAGUCAAGACAAGGAUUAUGUCGCCCAUCUGGUCGGCAUAGCCGGAGCGGUUCUGAGAUCUAAGUAUAAGGAGAAGUGGGAUAAGAUUGUUGAACUUAACGGAGACAGUCCGGAUAAGGUUCUGGACGCUAUGGCGACGUACCUGAAGACCCUAACGGCGUCUCAACACGACACGUUCACCAGCCCCUUCGAGGUUGUCGACGGUAACGUUGUGCUGGGUCUGGACGUGGUCACUUCGGAGAGUCUCUUCGGUUACGAGACCGCCGAGUACAAGGAGGAUCCCACAUUGUCAACAGCGAGGCCUUCGGAAGCUGACCGGAAGGUUGUUCUACCCGACACCUCCGCCUUCCUCAGCUCUCCAACACACUUAGGUCCGUCCGUUAGUUUCCCAAAAUACAACAAUUACAUGGCCGACCCCGGUAGAUUCGAUCCUCACUCGAAGAUCCAAGUACCGCUCAAUACGUUAGGCAUCAAACCCCUUAUGCAAGGCGAGCUGAAUGUGAAGAACAGUCUCACUAAUCGGAAGGCUGUGUUGAGUUAUGUGCAAUAUAAAGAACUUGGGAAUUUGUUACCGCAGAGAUUCGACGAUUCGGUGGCAGUUAGAUGGGGCGUGGAAGUUGCAGUCGGUUCACCAGUGAUGACCGUGUCGGUGUUGGUCCCCUCGGAGAAGGGUUACGAAUCCUUGACGGGAAUUCCUUUGCAAACUCCGAUCCAGGUUAGACUCUGGCUCACUGAGAACGACGAUUUCAAGACCAGAACGAAUCCACAGUGCGUCCACUGGAGCACAGCGCGAGGGGUCGGCGAAUGGAGUCGCAUGGGCUGCACCACGGAAAUCGAGGAUAACUCCUUGGCCUUCGGCACUAUCGUCAACUGCUCCUGCAUGCAACUGUCCACCUUCGCCAUCCUGACAGACGUCCUCGACCUGGAAUACGUCCCGGAGCCGUCCCUGCUGGAAGAUGUGACCAGUUACAGCGCGUUCAUGCUCGCCUUGCCGUUGCUGCUAGCCGCCCUCUUGAUCCUGGCGUUAAUUCGCGGCGGAGGCACCAACUCGAACAGCAUCCACAAGAAUUUGGUCCUGUGCGUCCUCUUGGCGGAAACUCUGUACCUGAUUGCGCUCAAAGCUAGAAACCCUCUCAUAUCCAACGAGUUUCCGUGCAAGCUCACGGCGAUAGGACUGCAUUACUCUUGGCUGAGCACCUUCGCUUGGACCCUCGUGGACUCUGUUCAUCUUUAUCGAAUGCUGACGGAGAUGAGGGACGUCAAUCACGGUCAGAUGAGGUUUUAUUACACCAUGGGAUACGGUCUGCCAGCUGUUAUCGUCGGGCUCACUAUCGGCGUCAGAGCUGAUCAGUACGGAAAUUUCUACUUUUGCUGGCUGUCGAUCUACGAGACCGUGAUCUGGUCUUUGAUAGGGCCGGUGUGCGCGGCCGUGUUGGUGAACUUUUGCAUUCUUAUCAUGUGCAUCCGCGCGGCGUUCACUCUGAAGGAGCACGUCAUGGGCUUUGGUAAUCUGAGAACGCUCCUGUGGCUGUCCGUGGCGUCGUUGCCGUUGUUGGGCUCCACGUGGACGCUGGCGGUUCUCAACGCGUCCGAGAACUCGUCGACGCUGUCGUACCUGCUGAGCGUCGCGAUCGUGGUCCAUGCGGCGUUCAGUCUGAUUGGCUACUGCUUCGUCAACGGCAGAGUGAGGAGGAAUUUAUAUCAGAGUCUGUUGAGAUGCAUGGGCAAGAAGACUCCUCUGCUGGAAGGAAGCAUGGGCAACGGGAGUAGCAGUCAAAACGUAAAUGGCCACUCGCGUUCCGCCUUAGCCUACUCGUCGACCUACAGUGGAGCCGAGUCCGUGUGCAGAAGAGUCCACGUCGGCGUCUCCACGAGCAGCACAACCUCGAGAAGUACAAACAAGACGGGCUCGAGCCCGUAUCGUAGUGAUACGCACUUGAGGCACACGUCGACGUCCACGAGCAACUACAACAGCGAUCGCGAUCAAUAUCUGUCGUCGAGGAGUCACAGGUCCGCGCUACAGUCUCGACAAGAAUCCACGGAGGUCACGAGAGGUCAGCGCAGAGAAUCGGAAUCAGACUCUGACGGCUCGCAAGCCGAAGGGGGCGGCAGGAGCUUGGACCUCGCCAGCUCGCACAGCUCCGACGAGGACGACGUGACGUCGAGGUCGCACAGGAACAUGGGCGUUUCCACGCAGCAACACGUCAGUCACAGCUACCUGCCCAACAUUCACACCAAUCCCGCCGAACACCUGAACAUACUUUGCUCAAACGCCGAGCUGUUCCCUAAUAUCAAACCCAUCUACGCUCCCCGGUGGAGCUCGCAACUGCCGGAGGCGUACUUGGCGUCGAACGUAAUGGACGUGCGAGGUAGCCAAUGGUCCGGCGGCACCAUGUCGGACAACGAGAUGGCCUCGAACAAGACGUCCAGCCCGAACCCACUGCCGUACCCGGACAUGAGCCCGCCGCAGAAGAGUCAGCCGGAUGAGAACUACUCGGAGGGCGAGGAGAAGGUGCACCACUUGGGCGAAAAGUAUCUGUUCCCGUAUACCGCCGAGGAGGACCACACGGUGUCGCCCACGCCGUACAUGCUGUCCAUGUCGUCGCGCAUCCUGGCGUCCAGCAUGAGCCACCAUUCGCAGAAUUCGAAUCACGAGAACCUGAGCGGCUCCGAGCGCUACGGCAGCCUGAAGAGAGGCCAAAGCCUGCACAGUUCUCAGCAUGACAACCUCAGCGGGUCCGAGAGGUACGGUAGCCUGAAGCGCGGCGGCAAGAGGACGCCCACGGUGUUGGAGGACACGCCGGAGUACAUCCUGCCGAUGAGCGGCAGGAUACUGUCCAGCUCGUUGACCCACGACCUGCAGCACAGCAACGAGCUGGCGGCGUUGAGGCAGCAUCAGCAGCAGCAACAGCAGCAGCAGCAGCAGCAAUAUGAGCAGACUAUCACCGAGACUGAGUGGCGUUGGAACAUUCUAACAUAACUCUAUCUUUUCUGUGAUCCGUGCUUGCACUGACGACUAAAACCACCAGCGAGGAGGAAGGAUACUAAUGCGGAAACGUCCGUCUGACGAGCUCCGUGCCACAAACAAGAACAACGUACAAAGUAAUUUAGCUUACACUUAGCUUAAGUGUCCACGCGCAAUAAAGACUCGAGAACGCGAUCAUCGAUAUACAUAUAUAUAUAUAUAUAUAUAUAUAUAUAUACAUAUAUAUAAUAAUAACAUAUAUAUACAUAUAUAUUUUAAGAAGCGGCCAUGACUGUACUUAUAUACUUAGCCAUAUUAAUUAGCAUGUAUGUGUGAGUGCCUGUUCAUAUUACCGCAUCCGCAAGGUCCGUCGGAAUGAUCGCGACGAAGGGAGAUAAACGUUACACCGGGAUACCUGCCGAUGCUCGAGCCGAUAACAAGCGACCGGAUCGCCUGAAAAAAUUGACGACUACUUAUUAUAUAUACGGAGCGAGAGUCUGGAAAAAUAUCGCGGUGUUAUAUUUAUCUAAUCGAGCCAGUCGAAAGAUUCGCUCAACGUAGCGCGCAGAAACGCGCGAAGUAAGAUCCCGUCGAUUUGUAAAUUAUGUUUAACGAGCUCGCGCUCGAACUCGCAGCCGACAAAUUAUCGACUCGCGACUAUGUCCUUGCACGGAGCUCUUCGAUCGCCCCGGUCGACCCGCGUAUAGAUA